UGCAGCGAACAGCUCACUGCGUUUACGUUCACAUUCACCUGAAUGAAGUGCUGCAGGGAAUAGUUCAUCUGCUAUAAAAGAGAUUUCAUAACCCAAUUGUGAAGUGUUUUCUUUAGUGUAAUUGCUGAUGAGUCCAGGCAGGUCGGGCGAUGAGGGCGUAACGGGACUCGCACGCGUGGGCUUAAAUGAGCUUUUCUGACUUCAUUCGCACUCACUGCUGUUCAACCAUGGAGCUCAAAGCAAAGGCUGUCCUGCUGCUCGUCUGUGUCACCAUCAUCAUCCUCACCAGCACUGAAGUGGAUGCCAUUGCAUGCUGUUUGACUGUUUCAAAGAUCCCAAAGCGCAUGUUGGUAUUUGUCUCCACACACCAGAUCCAGGAAAGAUCUGGUGUCUGUGACAUUGAUGCAGUGAUGUGAGUGUUUAACACACACAAACAAACACAAAUCAGUCCUGUGCUCCUGUACUGACAGUGUUUACUGCUUUACAGAUUAUUCAUUAGUAAAAAAAGAUCUGUGCUCAUCCUGAAGUCCUAAAUCGCAUGAAGAGAAUCAGGAAGAAGAAUCCCAAACCCAAACGGACUCAAAAAAAGCCUAAAUGAACAUCAUCAUCUGUCUUAUAAUGAAUUAAUCUGCUGGUGGUUUCAGUACUUUUUGUAUGCAUGUUUUAAAAGUCCACCUUACAAUUUUUAUUAAAUAUACUGUAUAUAUUCAUUGGAUGCUCUGCUUUUUCAUACAAUAAAAUGCAUUUUUUUA